UACGUAGGUCCCGAGCGUUGUCCGGAUUUAUUGGGCGUAAAGCGAGCGCAGGUGGUUUAUUAAGUCUGGUGUAAAAGGCAGUGGCUCAACCAUUGUAUGCAUUGGAAACUGGGAGACUUGAGUGCAGAAGAGGAGAGUGGAGCUCCAUGUGUAGCGGUGAAAUGCGUAGAUAUAUGGAAGAACACCAGUGGCGAAAGCGGCUCUCUGGUCUGUAACUGACGCUGAGGUUCGAAAGCGUGGGUAGCAAACAGG
rnacentral:rRNA from 1 species